UGCUAGUAUGCGUAGAAUAAGGAUCGGCUAACUCCGUGCCAGCAGCCGCGGUAAUACGGAGGAUCCGAGCGUUAUCCGGAUUUAUUGGGUUUAAAGGGUGCGCAGGCGGCGCUUUAAGUCAGUGGUCAAAUCGUGAGGCUCAACCUCAUCCCGCCAUUGAUACUGGAGCGCCUGAUUGCGGUUGAGGUAGGCGGAAUUCGUCGUGUAGCGGUGAAAUGCAUAGAUAUGGCGAAGAACUCCGAUUGCGUAGGCAGCUGACCAAGCCGUAAAUGACGCUCAUGCACGAAAGUGCGGGGAUCGAACAGGAUUAGAUACCCUG
rnacentral:rRNA from 1 species